ACUCCUACGGGAGGCAGCAGUAGGGAAUCUUCCGCAAUGGACGAAAGUCUGACGGAGCAACGCCGCGUGAGUGAUGAAGGUUUUCGGAUCGUAAAGCUCUGUUGUUAGGGAAGAACAAGUACCGUUCGAACAGGGCGGUACCUUGACGGUACCUAACCAGAAAGCCACGGCUAACUACGUGCCAGCAGCCGCGGUAAUACA
rnacentral:rRNA from 1 species